rnacentral:miRNA from 1 species
CAUUGAAAUCGGCUGGGGUAGC